CCCAGCGCGAGGGAGAGUGGCCUGGAGCGAUGCUGUUGUGUGGGCUUCGUGGCGGCGGUGCGUGGAGGGCGCGUGUGGGGCGAGUGAGGAUGCGCGAGUGUGUGAGUGAGUGGGCGUGCAAGGCGAGUGUGUGCGCCAGCCCUGCGCCCCUCUCCCCGCCUACACCUUGAUCUUAUUUGAUCGGGUUGUGACUUCAGCCCUGCCGGUCCGACCCGAAAUGAAAAGCUUCCCUCCUGCGAAGCCCCUUGCUCGGGGCGCUGUGCAGCGAGGCCUCUCAGGCGGCGGCCAUGCGGCGGUCCCGGAAGUCCCGGGGCCCGGCGCUCAGAAAUGAUGAAUUGAUCAGAUAGACGAGGCCGGGCUUGUCCCGCGCCAUUGAUUAUCGAGGCGAUUCUGAUCUGA
rfam:Erinaceus europaeus unplaced genomic scaffold scaffold00425, whole genome shotgun sequence